GGUAACAUGGUCAACAUGUGACUGUGGGAUCCUUUCAGAAGCUGCCCCGGCUGGCUACCAGAGCCUUCAGCACAACAACCAAACAGAUGAAGAACAAGGUGCCAGAUCGUCAGAACCUAUUCCAGGGGAGCAUGACAUCAUUAGGACACCUGGGUGAGAAACAAUCCCAAACGAGGAAAACAAGAGGCGGACAACGGCUUGCCAGUCCACAUCAAGGGAGGGGCCACUGAUGUCCUUCUCUACCGGCUAACAAUGACCAUCACCCUCCGCAGGCACUGGAUAUUCCUUAUUCUGGAUUCUACGUGCCUGUCAGCCCAAGGGCAAAUGAGGAAGCCCUGCGAAUGCAUGUGUUUGUUUAAAUCAAUUCCACUUUAUGACCUUCUUCUAAUGUCAUGGGACACUUUAUGUACAGAAUACAGAAAUCUCUCUAUUAUGCCUCUGUUUCAAGGCAAGCCCUAUUUUCCUCUAUCAACCCAUGUGUCAUUUCACUUCAACCUCAAUGAAAUGAUCUAUUCCUGCCACCCUGUGUUCAAUCAGAGAAAUUAGAAGGAACAUUUCACACAGAACAAACUUUGAAAAGAACCCAGUGUUGGAUUGCCGUGGAUGGCAACAGGAGGUGUCACUAUUUGAAUCUACCGAUGUUACUAGAUGACAUCACAUGCAUAGAUGAAUAUUAACAAUUUACCUUACUGAAAUUACUUACUGAAAGUGUACUGAUGCUGGAAAUAUGAAAAUCAGUUGCAAAAAAAUACUCCAGCCAAAUACCAAUAGGGUUAUUUAAUUAAGAUUCCAUGUACGUGACAAAAAAAUGCUGAGAUUUGAGAAAUACAUUUUGGCACACAAUUCAAAAGUCAUCCAAUCAGUCACAAACAGACCCUUUCGUUACUCUGGGUCAAAAUGUGGUUUUUCAUGGCCUUUUCUUUAUUUUUACUAUUUUCUACAUUGUAGAAUGAUAGUG